UGAAUCUAAGGAUGCCCUCAACGAUUCCAC
rnacentral:piRNA from 1 species